UGGGGAAUUUUGGACAAUGGGGGCAACCCUGAUCCAGCCAUGCCGCGUGCGGGAAGAAGGCCUUCGGGUUGUAAACCGCUUUUGUCAGGGAAGAAAUCUUCCGAGCUAAUACCUUGGGAGGAUGACGGUACCUGAAGAAUAAGCACCGGCUAACUACGUGCCAGCAGCCGCGGUAAUACGUAGGGUGCAAGCGUUAAUCGGAAUUACUGGGCGUAAAGCGUGCGCAGGCGGUUGUGCAAGACAGGUGUGAAAUCCCCGGGCUUAACCUGGGAACUGCACUUGUGACUGUACGGCUGGAGUACGGCAGAGGGGGAUGGAAUUCCGCGUGUAGCAGUGAAAUGCGUAGAUAUGCGGAGGAACACCGAUGGCGAAGGCAGUCCCCGUGGGCCUGUACUGACGCUC
rnacentral:rRNA from 1 species